rnacentral:rRNA from 1 species
CCUUCAAUAAACAUUUCAAAUUUAUAUUCAUUUAAAUAUUUUUAUUGUAACCCAUUUCUACUUAAAUAUUAGCUACACCUUGAUCUGAUAUAUUUUCUUUUUAAAAAUUAUGAAAAUUAACAUUCUUAUAAAAUAUUCUAAUAACGACGGUAUAUAAACUGAUUACAAACUUAAGUAAGGUCCAUCGUGGAUUAUCGAUUACAGAACAGGUUCCUCUGAAUAGACUAAAAUACCGCCAAAUUUUUUAAGUUUCAAGAACAUAACUACUACUACCUUAGUUUUUAAAUUUACAUUUUAAAUAAUAGGGUAUCUAAUCCUAGUUUAUUAUUAAAAUUUUCAAGCUUCAAUUAUUUUAUAUAAAAAAUUUAUAAAUUUAAAAUUUCACCUAAUAAAUUUAUUCUUAU